AUUUUCACUUUGAUAAGACAUAUACUAUAGCUGGAACAAUACAGAGAAGAUAUUAGCAUGGUCCUGGCACAAGAAUGACAUGUGAACGUGUGAAGUGUUCCAUAGAUAU
ensembl:snRNA U6 U6 spliceosomal RNA